CCUACGGGUGGCAGCAGUGAGGAAUAUUGGUCAAUGGGCGCGAGCCUGAACCAGCCAAGUAGCGUGAAGGAUGACUGCCCUACGGGUUGUAAACUUCUUUUAUAGGGGAGUAAAGUGAGGCACGUGUGCCUUUUUGUAUGUACUUUAUGAAUAAGGCUCGGCUAACUCCGUGCCCGCAGCCGCGGUAAUACGGAGGAUCCGAGCGUUAUCCGGGUUUAUUGGGUUUAAAGGGAGCGUAGAUGGGUUGGUAAGUCAGUUGGGAAAGUUUGCGGCUCAACCGUAAAAUUGCAAUUGAUACUGGCAGUCUUGAGUACAGGUGAGGUAGGCGGAAUGCGUGGUGUAGCGGUGAAAUGCUUAGAUAUCACGAAGAACUCCGAUUGCGAAGGCAGCUUACUAACCUGCCACUGACAUUGAUGCUCGAAAGUGUGGGUAUCAAACAGGAUUAGAUACCCGAGUAGUC
rnacentral:rRNA from 1 species